rnacentral:rRNA from 1 species
AGCUUCAGCCAGACCUCCCUGAACACGCCCAUCUCGUCUGAUCUCGGAAGCUAAGCAGGGUCGGGCCUGGUUAGUACUUGGGAGACAGGACCUGCAUGGUGGUGUGUUGC